GUGUCAGCAGCCGCGGUAAUACAGGGGGUGCAAGCGUUGCUCGGAAUUACUGGGCGUAAAGCGUGCGCAGGCGGUUUGUCAAGUCGGGGGUGAAAACCCGGGGCUCAACCCCGGAAUUGCCUCCGAAACUGGCAGACUUGAGUACGAGAGAGGGUCGCGGAAUUCUUGGUGUAGAGGUGAAAUUCGUAGAUAUCAGGAAGAACACCAGUGGCGAAAGCGGCGACCUGGCUCGAUACUGACGCUCAUGCACGAAAGCGUGGGGAGCAAACAGGAUUAGAUACCCUGGUAGUCC
rnacentral:rRNA from 1 species